UACGGGGGGGGCAAGCGUUGUUCGGAAUUACUGGGCGUAAAGGGCGCGUAGGCGGCCUUCUAAGUCGGACGUGAAAUCCCUCGGCUUAACCGAGGAACUGCGUCCGAUACUGAAAGGCUUGAAUCCGGGAGAGGGAUGUGGAAUUCCAGGUGUAGCGGUGAAAUGCGUAGAUAUCUGGAGGAACACCGGUGGCGAAGGCGGCAUCCUGGACCGGUAUUGACGCUGAGGCGCGAAGGUCAGGGGAGCAAACGGG
rnacentral:rRNA from 1 species